CAGUAGCGUAUAUUAAAGUUGUUGCAGUUAAAAAGCUCGUAGUUGAAUUUCUGGCGGGCGCGCCGGUCUUCCAAGUGUUGUACUGGGCGCAGUCCGCCAUCCUUGUGGAGAGGGCUCGCAUUGAGUUGCGUGUCGGAUCUGCAUCAUUUACUGUGAAAAAAUUAGAGUGUUUAAAGCAGGCUGUCGCUUGAAUACAUUAGCAUGGAAUAAUAAGAUAGGACUUCGGUCUAUUUUGUUGGUUGCGAACCGAGGUAAUGAUUAAUAGGGAUAGUUGGGGGUAUUCAUAUUUAAUUGUCAGAGGUGAAAUUCUUGGAUUUAUGAAAGAUGAACAACUGCGAAAGCAUUUACCAAGGAUGUUUUCGUUAA
rnacentral:rRNA from 1 species